GAGGUCAGGGGGUCUCUGGUCUCUGUGAUGGAGAGGUCAGGGGGUCUCUGGUCUCUGUGAUGGAGAGGUUAGGGGUCUCUGGUCUCUGUGAUGAAGAGGUCAGGAGGUCUCUGUGAUGGAGAGGUCAGGGGGUCUCUGGUCUCUGUGAUGGAGAGGUCAGGGGGUCUCUGGUCUCUGUGAUGGAGAGGGCAGGGGGUCUCUGGUCUCUGUGAUGGAGAGGUCAGGAGGUCUCUGGUCUCUGUGAUGGAGAGGUCAGGGGGUCUCUGGUCUCUGUGAUGGAGAGGUCAGGAGGUCUCUGGUCUCUGUGAUGGAGAGGUCAGGAGGUCUCUGGUCUCUGUGAUGGAGAGGUCAGGGGGUCUCUGGUCUCUGUGACGGAGAGGUCAGGGGGUCUCUGGUCUCUGUGAUGGAGAGGUCAGGGGGUCUCUGGUCUCUGUGAUGGAGAGGGCAGGGGGUCUCUGGUCUCUGUGAUGGAGAGGUCAGGAGGUCUCUGGUCUCUGUGAUGGAGAGGUCAGGGGGUCUCUGGUCUCUGUGAUGGAGAGGUCAGGAGGUCUCUGGUCUCUGUGAUGGAGAGGUCAGGAGGUCUCUGGUCUCUGUGAUGGAGAGG